CAGCAGCCGCGGUAAUACGGAGGAUCCAAGCGUUAUCCGGAAUCAUUGGGUUUAAAGGGUCCGUAGGCGGUCUUGUAAGUCAGUGGUGAAAGCCCAUCGCUCAACGGUGGAACGGCCAUUGAUACUGCAGGACUUGAAUUAUUGGGAAGUAACUAGAAUAUGUAGUGUAGCGGUGAAAUGCUUAGAGAUUACAUGGAAUACCAAUUGCGAAGGCAGGUUACUACCAAUUGAUUGACGCUGAUGGACGAAAGCGUGGGUAGCGAACAGGAUUAGAUACCCCUGUAGUCCCUGUCCUUAUACC
rnacentral:rRNA from 1 species